UACGUAGGGGGCAAGCGUUAUCCGGAUUUACUGGGUGUAAAGGGAGCGUAGACGGCAGCACAAGUCUGGAGUGAAAUCCCAUGGCUUAACCAUGGAACUGCUUUGGAAACUGUCGCGCUCGAGUGUCGGAGAGGUAAGUGGAAUUCCUAGUGUAGCGGUGAAAUGCGUAGAUAUUAGGAGGAACACCAGUGGCGAAGGCGGCUUACUGGACGACAACUGACGCUGAGGCUCGAAAGCGUGGGGAGCAAACAGG
rnacentral:rRNA from 1 species